GCUUAUGGAUGAGCAAAGAAAGUGGUUUCCUGAGAUUAAAUCUACGCCUGGUGAAGAUGCUGUGAA
rnacentral:pre_miRNA from 1 species